UGUUCCUUUAAAUUAACCCCGUGAGGUUAAAAAGGUUAUAUACAGCAGAAUAUAUUGUUGUUUUGUCAUGCCUUUUUUCCUCAUGGAAAAAAGGCUUUUAUAU
rfam:Thermotalea metallivorans strain B2-1 AN619_contig000066, whole genome shotgun sequence.